rnacentral:rRNA from 1 species
UACGAGGGGUGCAAGCGUUGUUCGGAAUUACUGGGCGUAAAGCGCACGUAGGCGGCUUUGCAAGUUAGAGGUGAAAACCCGGAGCUCAACUCCGGGCCUGCAGUCGAUACGGGCAAACUGGAGUGUUGCAGGGGAGACUGGAAUUCCUGGUGUAGCGGUGAAAUGCGCAGAUAUCAGGAGGAACACCGGUGGCGAAGGCGGGUCUCUGGGCCGAAACUGACGCUGAGGAGCGAAAGCGUGGGGAGCAAACAGG